AUAUUACAUAGAAUACCGAUUGCGAAGGCAGAUCACUAACGAUACACUGACGCUGAUGGACGAAAGCGUGGGUAGCGAACAGGAUUAGAUACCCUGGUAGUCCACGCCGUAAACGAUGGAUACUGUCUGUUUGGGAAUUUUUUUUCUAAGUGGAUAAGCGAAAGUGAUAAGUAUCCCACCUGGGGAGUACGUUCGCAAGAAUGAAACUCAAAGGAAUUGACGGGGGCCCGCACAAGCGGUGGAGCAUGUGGUUUAAUUUGAUGAUACGCAAGGAACCUUACCAAGGCUUAAAUGUAUGAUGACAGGAUUAGAGAUAAUUUUUUCUUCGGACAUUAUACAAGGUGCUGCAUGGUUGUCGUCAGCUCGUGCCGUGAGGUGUCAGGUUAAGUCCUAUAACGAGCGCAACCCUUGUUGUUAGUUGCCAGCACAUUAUGGUGGGGACUCUAACAAGACUGCCGGUGCAAACCGUGAGGAAGGUGGGGACGACGUCAAAUCAUCACGGCCCUUACGUCUUGGGCUACACACGUGCUACAAUGGCAGGUACAGAGAGCAGCCACUAUGCAAAUAGGCGCGAAUCUACAAAACCUGUCCCAGUUCGGAUCGGAGUCUGCAACUCGACUCUGUGAAGUUGGAAUCGCUAGUAAUCGGAUAUCAGCCAUGAUCCGGUGAAUACGUUCCCGGGCCUUGUACACACCGCCCA
rnacentral:rRNA from 1 species